rnacentral:rRNA from 1 species
UACGGGGGGAGCAAGCGUUUGUUCGGAUUUACUGGGCGUAAAGGGCGCGUAGGCGGCCAGCGCAAGUCAGUUGUGAAAUCUCCGGGCUUAACUCGGAAAGGUCAACUGAUACUGUGCGACUAGAGUGCGGAAGGGGCAACUGGAAUUCUUGGUGUAGCGGUGAAAUGCGUAGAUAUCAAGAGGAACACCUGCGGCGAAGGCGGGUUGCUGGGCCGACACUGACGCUGAGGCGCGAAAGCCAGGGGAGCGAACGGG